rnacentral:misc_RNA from 1 species
CAACAAUCGACUGAACAUAGCUCCAAACCACCAGAGUCCCUCCAUCGAAGACCCAUUCACCACAAUCGUCUCCUUUAUCGAACCUUUACUGCAUCAAUCUAGUGUCAACACCUAGUCCAAACCACAUGCAAACCACCAUUCCUCGACAAUCACCUCCCCUUACUUCAAUCCCGUCUCCAUCACCUCAUUCUCAUAUGCAAUAAGCCCAACUUUCUCGCCCACCAAACUUCAACACUCCAUUUCAAUGCUCCACCUAGUCCAAACCACAUGCAAACCACCAUUCCUCGACAAUCACCUCCCCUUACUUCAAUCCCGUCUCCAUCACCUCAUUCUCAUAUGCAAUAAGCCCAACUUUCUCGCCCACCAAACUUCAACACUCCAUUUCAAUGCUC